rnacentral:rRNA from 1 species
UACGAAGGGGGCUAGCGUUGUUCGGAAUUACUGGGCGUAAAGCGCGCGCAGGCGGUCUUCCAAGUCAGUGGUGAAAGCCUGGAGCUCAACUCCAGAACUGCCAUUGAAACUGUUGGACUUGAGUACGAGAGAGGUGAGUGGAAUUCCCAGUGUAGAGGUGAAAUUCGUAGAUAUUCGCAAGAACACCAGUGGCGAAGGCGGCUCACUGGCCCGGAACUGACGCUGAGACGCGAAAGCGUGGGGAGCAAACAGG